GUUAAACUUUUUCGCUCCUGAUAAAUUUUAAAUUAAUUAACUUUACCUGUGAAUUUAAAAUAAAAAUUUUAUGUUAUUAAAUGUUCAUCUAACUACAUGGACCAUUUUGAUACCAAAAAUUAUGAUAAUUCAACAGUUACUUUAGUUGUUUUUGUUACUCUUUCAAAUGAGCUAUUACUGCGUCGUAAUAAUUUCAACCAUUUUUGUUUUCUUGUCAAACUAUCUCUGGACCCGAUUUUCACCUUCGUUUCAAACAACCAUUUUCCUGAACAAAUCUAAUGAGUUAACCCUUUAAUAUAUUUACCUACAUCAGGUAUAUUUAAACACGAAGAUUUAAACAUAAAGAUUCAAACAUUAAUAUUCAAACAUGAAGAUUUAAACGAAAUCAAACUGAGCGGUUAGUUCAGUGCCCUAAAGGGCCUCCAGGCAACUGGAGUUAAUGUAUGAAGCAUUAGCCAUUCAGGCAUCAAUAAAAUUCGAUUCGAUUUAAUUUCUCAA